rnacentral:sRNA from 1 species
GAGACAAAAUUGACUUUUGUGAGACAAAAUUGUUUUUUGUGAGACAAAACUCAAUUUUGUCAAUUUUGUCUCACAAAUGUCAAUUUUUUCUCACAAAAGUCAAUUAUGUCUCACAAAAGUC